GCCGGUUAGCUCAGUUGGUUAGAGUGUGGUGCUAAUAAUGCCAAGGUCACAGGUUCAAUCCCUGCUCACUGCA
rnacentral:tRNA from 1 species